GCGGAUGUGAUGAAAUUGGGAGACAUGUCAGAUUUAGGUUCUGGUGGACAUAGUCCAUGUGGGUUCAAGUCCCUCCAUCCGCA
rnacentral:tRNA from 1 species